AUGCAUCUGAGCUCCGACCUCGGGGACGAGNG
rnacentral:rRNA from 1 species